UCUGUAGUCAAAAGGUGGAAAGAUUUAUAAGGAACAAGUGAGUAAAAUACGUAAUGUAAUACAUAAACUACUCUUCUUUAUACACUGAAUAUUUUAGUGAUGACAUGUAGUUCUAUGAGGCCAGCAAGACUCUCCUGGCCCCAUUUUUGGAGUUUGGGGGCAUAUUUGUAACGUUAGCUUAGUGGGGUGAAUCACAGCUUAGUGGGUUGAAUCACAGGACCAUGACUGAGGAAAUCAAAGUGACAUUUUUAUUGUACACUUUUUGUGCAUGCAUUUUUCCAUUUUUAAUUUCUCCAUCUACAAAAUUGACAAAAUGUUUAUAAAAUUUAUCGUAACUGCAUUGUUUUUAUAGCAAAUGCCAUAGAGAGUAAUAUUUGUUAGUUUUCUUGAUCAAAGGCACAAAUAAAAAAAAAAAGCCGAAUUAAAGAAAAUCUUCUUUUUUUUUUUUUCCUUCAGGCAUUUCUCAGCUUACAAAUCUGGAUCCUCACAAAAAAAUCCCGGACUGUUGUUACGACUGUGGUAAUGGAUUCUAUAAUCCUGAAACCUAAGUUACUGUUGAGUACAAACUCAGGUAUCAUUAACUUCUUCUACAAGAUGAUGAUGAGCAUGAAUGGAUCAUUCGGACCUGCUGGAAAGCUUGGGAUGAAACAAUUGAACAUAAACCAAAAGCGUGAAAAGUUUUUACUAGAUGAUAAUAUUUCAAAGCAAGUAAUCUGAUUCACAAUAAAUCUAAUUUGUCCUCGUGGAUUUGUCUCACCCUUUCCCUCUACAGGAAUAUAAUCUUUUUGUCAUCUCUGUCAGCACAAACAAAAAUGGAAAUAAUCAUUUAAUCAGUCAUGCUGAGAAAAAGCCAUGGAAAAAAAGCUGACUGUACUCACAAUAAUAUUCCUGAGAGGUGUGUAGUGUAGUAUAUAUAAAUGUUAUUAAGCCUGAAAACAAUUUGUUAAAAAGAGUGCCUCAGAUUCAGUGUUGAAGUCAUUCAAAUCCAUCUUAAUCAACAUUAUUUUCCCAGAUUUUAGUUAGCUGUCCUGGUGAAUUCCUUUCCUCUCUUUUUGCUCAGUACUUUGAUAUUGAUUGAUCAUUGUAAUAAUGUACACCAGAGGUAUUCUUUAAUGACUGGUUUGCUAACUAGGAAAUUAUAUCCAUUUACUACGAACAUUUGUUGAACUCUCCUGAAGCCAGAGUUUAACAAAAUAAUAAAAGAGGAAAACUGGGUGGGUUGCUGCUUGAUUAGUAAGCCAGAAAGUAUUUAAAAAUAAAAUAAAAUGGAAUUACAUCAUUUUCUGGAUGUAAGUGCCAGCACUUCUACUUGCAUUAACUUUAUUUAUUACACAAAUAAGACAUUUACAAAGCACAACAUUAAAAGUAUGUAACAAAACAGACAUUGGUUUUACAAAAAAGUGCUUACAAUUUAGUUUUACUUUUUUAAAAUAAAUAUUAGUCUUGACUGUCCACUCAUUCAGAGAAUUUUUUUUUAACCAUUGUAGCCAAGACAUGCAGAAUUGCAACAUGCUACAACAAAAUGAUUGGUGGAUGAAAUAAAAAUCAUGUGUCUAUAGUUGGCAUCCUACAGAUAUAUCACUGAUAGUAGUGCAGGAUUGGUUCCCACUCCCCUGUCCCAACUAGUAAGUUGUGUAAGCACCUUUAGCUCGGACAUUGGGGUUCACCAGCAUGAGCCAAAAAAAAAGAAAAAAAAAGAAUUGGUAAUAAAACUGUAAACCAUUCCACUUUCAGACCCUAGCCAUAUUUAGUUACUUUAAUAAACUUGAGUGAAAAGCAUUUCACUAUCUUUGUUGGGUUUUGUCUGCAAAAGGUUUUGUAAAAAGCAACUGGAAAAGUUUAAUACAUGGAGUCUGCAUUGCUGCACCAGAACCCAUUUGACAAUUACUGAAUAAACUAAGAAAAUCAGAAUUAUUUUUAUUUUAUUUUUUUUCAAUCUACAGACAGGAGAUGAAUGCAAAUGACCUGAGAUAAGGUUUGGUUCAGUGGCAACAGUCAGUGUGAAAUAUGUUGUGAAACAAUGUAUUGAAUAAAUUAGAGGAUUUCUUACAUUCUUGGUACAGUUGAGUAUUUUCCAUACACAUAAUUAGCUCUAAAACUGCACAAGCUGAAUUGCUUCCAGUUUUUGCAAACAAUUUGGGCUUAAUAUAAACAGAGCGUGAUUUCUGAAUUAGCAAAGCCGCUCCUGGCUACUUAUGGGGGAGAAUGCCCUGGAGCACGGUCUGUGCGGGGCACUUUGCCCCACAGGUAGUGGUGAGUCCACUGCAGAGAAGCACCUACACUCCCUCGGCCUCUGCUUUGCACUUGGUCCUGCCAGCGGUGUCAGGUACAAAAACUUUGAUAUCCAGUACAUUUCACAAGUGGGGUGGUUUUGAUCAGUAACUAAGUUGAUAUUUAGCAGAUACAUAUUUAAGAGUUUCCCUUUCAUUGCACUGCCGAGACAGAAGAGAAAUGCAUCAAACCAUUUUCUCCCUCAACAAAACAGUUGUGGAAAUCUCAAGUACUGUGAGAUGUCAGGUUAAGUUACAGCCUGAAGUCUCUCCUUCAGUCUUAAACGAAAUAACUACCCAUUUGUUUAUGGCACUAAUUCCACAACUAAAUGAUCGUUAGGAUGCGCGAGCACAAACGGAGAAGUCGGGCUCCGGUGACCCUGCUGACCAGCACCAGCAUCUAAAGGCUGUCGCACGCAGACACAGCGAUCCACCUCAACCUUGCGAUUACCAGCACUCCACCAACGGCCAACAAAGGGAACGCCCGUCCUUCACUCAUUGCUAUGGAAAGGACAAAAGUGACUGCAAGGGGUGCAACCCAAGGGGACACCUCUGCAGCGGUGGUUCCAGUCAGGUCAGGCACGCAGCAGUGCCUUGUCACUGGCUACACACUGGAAAUGGUUAUUUGCACGCCAGGAGGCAACAAUAAUACUUUGCAGACUUAGUUUCCUCUCUCCUUUCAAAUGUUAUUUUAAAUUGGGGAUAGAGCUGCUAGCUGCUGGCUGCCAUUAGACAGAACACUGGCCUAACUGUCCAAGGAAUUACCAUCACACUCUCUCUCUGAAUAUUUUUUUUUCAUGUAUAUAUAUACACACACACACACACAGAGGUAUGUGUGUGUGUACAUAUUU
ensembl:lncRNA